CCUACGGGGGGCAGCAGUGAGGAAUAUUGGUCAAUGGACGCAAGUCUGAACCAGCCAUGCCGCGUGCAGGAUGACGGCUCUAUGAGUUGUAAACUGCUUUUGUACGAGGGUAAACCCCGAUACGUGUAUCGGGUUGAAAGUAUCGUACGAAUAAGGAUCGGCUAACUCCGUGCCAGCAGCCGCGGUAAUACGGAGGAUCCGAGCGUUAUCCGGAUUUAUUGGGUUUAAAGGGUGCGUAGGCGGAUUGAUAAGUUAGAGGUGAAAUGUCCGAGCUUAACUCGGGAACUGCCUCUAAUACUUUUGAU
rnacentral:rRNA from 1 species